GACGUAGGGCGCGAGCGUUGUCCGGAAUUAUUGGGCGUAAAGAGCUCGUAGGCGGCUCGUCGCGUCAGCUGUGAAAACCCGCGGCUUAACCGUGGGCUUGCAGCUGAUACGGGCGGGCUAGAGUUCGGUAGGGGAGACUGGAAUUCCUGGUGUAGCGGUGAAAUGCGCAGAUAUCAGGAGGAACACCGGUGGCGAAGGCGGGUCUCUGGGCCGAUACUGACGCUGAGGAGCGAAAGCGUGGGGAGCGAACAGG
rnacentral:rRNA from 1 species